GGAGAGGUGGCCGAGUGGUUUAAGGCGCACGCUUGGAAAGCGUGUGUAGGGGAAACUCUACCGCGGGUUCGAAUCCCGCUCUCUCCGCCA
rnacentral:tRNA from 1 species